CACAUCCCCUAAGCCCUCUCAGACCAAACACCUGCAGUUCCAACACCCAUUCCCAUGGGCAGCAUGGCUUUCGUGCCCUUCAGUGCCGGUGUGGCUGGAGAGAGGUGGAGCCUCUGGCAAGACUUCCUGGAGCAGUGAUGUCUAGUUCCAAAGAUGCAAAGCUGCCACGUGGAUGGGAGCAACUCCUCUCCGUGCUAAUCUGAGGGUGUCUAUUUUGUGGAGACAGCACCCCUAAAUCUCUCCACUCACAAUGUUAUUUCUUCUGACUCCUGUGCCGGCCUGUAUCUCCCACUCUUUGGAGAGCUUAAGGGAAAUGAUGAGCCACAAAGUGCAAGCGUCUGCAUUCUGCUGUCUCUUCACCCUGCCUGGCUACUGCUCUUUUUUUUCUUUUUCUGUUGAAUAAGCAAAAGCAAGAGCAAAUUUAUUCCUCAGGA